rnacentral:rRNA from 1 species
GGAAACGAUGUGGGAAGGCCCAGACAGCCAGGAUGUUGGCUUAGAAGCAGCCAUCAUUUAAAGAAAGCGUAAUAGCUCACUGGUCGAGUCGGCCUGCGCGGAAGAUGUAACGGGGCUAAACCAUGCACCGAAGCUGCGGCAGCGACACUGUGUGUUGUUGGGUAGGGGAGCGUUCUGUAAGCCUGCGAAGGUGUCCCGUGAGGGAUGCUGGAGGUAUCAGAAGUGCGAAUGCUGACAUAAGUAACGAUAAAGCGGGUGAAAAGCCCGCUCGCCGGAAGACCAAGGGUUCCUGUCCAACGUUAAUCGGGGCAGGGUGAGUCGACCCCUAAGGC